AUGGAAGGGGUGCUGGAGGAGCUCUCUCUUGGGCAGAUGGGUUCUUUUACAGUGAUUUGCUGCCAGCUUCACCCUUGGCCAGAGUGCAGUAGUGAAACCGGAAGUGACAGUGCCAGGUUUGGCCUGUACUGUUUCUCUCCUAGUAUUAAUCCAGCAGCCCCUCUACUCUUUGAGAAAGACCUCAUUACCAGCCUCAUUGAUUGUGCUUCCUGCAUCAACGACCACAGCUUCUUCUACCACACCAACUGAGAGAGAGAGAGAGAGAGAAGGAGGCUUAGCCCAGUGCAUCUGUGUGUCCUGCAUUAUGGGUAGGGAGGUAAGCAGUAGGCAGGAGGUUUAUGGUGCUGUAAUUGGUAGUUAGUGUGAUAUUUGUAAGACAAAUAGAGCUAUAUGUGCGAUUCCUCCUCUCUCUCUCCUCUCUAGUCUUUACAGCCACCAAAGGGCCUCAUUAUAGCCCACCGCAGCCCAGGCCUCACUGCACCGCACACACACAUGAAGGGCAGGAAGUUGUGUGUGACAGUGUGGCUGCCAGGACUGAUAGAUGAUACAGUAAGUGUGGUAUUCAUUGAGAGAGGACCCUGACGGUCGGGGGAAUGAAACAGCUCUUCAUUAUAUCGCAACCCGGUGGACGUUUUACACUCACGCUGUGCGCGGCGGGACUGACCGAGUUUACUGUGGUCACUCAUGCAUAUGUGGGGUUCUGAAUUAACUUUUUUACAAGACCUGCCAAUGGUGAGCAAAUCUGGAUAACAACCAUCUAUCACUGUGUUGUUAUUGUUAACUAAAACUAUUAUAUAUUGUUUUUACUUUUUUUUUUUUUUUUUUUUGGUCAUUAAAAUAAAGAUGACAUAAAGUAAAAUAUAAAUAUUAAA
ensembl:lncRNA